rnacentral:rRNA from 1 species
AUGAGUAUUACAAGGAAAAAUAUAGUUACAGAGGAGAAGGAUCAGAACGGAGAGGGAACAAGUAGUGAUGGUGGGGCAAACAAUGGUGUUAAGUCGAAGGAGGUAACCAUUGAAGAAUUGGAAAAUAUGACGGAGGAAGGUAUAUUGAAAGAACUGCGCAAGUUCCUCAGUCAUAGAAGAUUUCUUGUAGUGUUGGAUGAUGUCUGGAGGAGUAAUUCUUACAGUAAGAUAAAUAGGAUCCUCGAUGUCUUUCCGGAUGUGAAAAAUGGUAGUAGAAUCAUUUUGACCACCCGGGAUAUGGAUGUCUCAAAGCAUGUCGCCAGGACGAAAAGCAUUCAUGAGAUGAAGCUUUUGGAUGAGAGGGAGAGCUGGGAGUUGCUCGAGAAGAUGUCCUUUCCAGAGUACCAAAAUGUAAGCAGUGCUGAUCGAUCACAGUUGAUGCCGAUAGGAAAGAAACUGGCAGUGAAAUGCAAAGGGUUGCCGCUUGCUCUUGUGGUCUUGGGAGGCUAUCUUUCAAGGAACUUGGACUAUGACAUUUGGUCAGGAUUGGUUGAUAAUCUAGACUGGGAAGCUCGCAAGAAUGACGAGCCAGUCUGGAACAUCAUAGCUAAAAGUUACAAUGACCUUCCUAAUCACCAAGUGAAAUCAUGCUUUCUUUAUGUAGCUUCCUUUCCAGAGGACCAUGUCAUCCGCGUAGCAAAACUUUGCAAGCUGAUGAUAUCUGAAGGAUUUAUUCCACAUCGGCCGAAUCAGACAAUGGAAGAUACAGCAAGAGAAUACAUAAAGGAAUUGGCACAGAGGUGUAUGCUCCAACCCGUUGAAAUGAGCAAGUGGCAUGGCUCAAUAAAGAGUGUAGUUCUCCACGACGUGCUUCGUGAAUGGGGUAUUGCAGAGGCAAGGAGGGAUGGAUUGUUCAAUAUUUGGAGCAAUCCGACAGAUUCCGAGGCAUUCUCUGACUCAAUAACGUCUUACCGAAUUGCUCUCCAUAACUUUGUUGGAUGUACUGAGAUUAAUGUUGCCAUGCCGAAGCUCCGCACCUUGUUGGUGUUUUUCAAGUCACCAGCAGUAUCAGUACUUUGCAGGAUGAAAUGUCUCAGAGUACUUGAUCUUUAUGGCCUAAAGGGUCUCAAGUUAUUACCAUCUGGCAUUGGCAACUUGAUACAUCUAAGAUAUUUAGGACUAGAAAAAUGUGGCAGCGGAUCGGUUGGUAUUCCUUCCUCAGUUAGCGAUCUCUUGAACUUGCAAACUCUAGAUGCAAGAGGGUCAAUAGUAAGUUCACUGCCACGGCUCUUUUGGAAUAUCCCAACCUUGAGGCACCUGUUCCUUGGUGAGGUCAAGCACUGGGUUCCUCCGGAGGUUGGAUGCCUUGGCUCAUUGCAGACUUUGCACUUGUGUGAAGUAUCUGCAUUUUCUGAUGUUGACAGUUAUGUUUUAACCAAGCAUCGCCGGAUAAUUAGAAGUUCAAACAAAUCUAUUGCUCAAAGAAACAAGGAAAAAUGGGCUGCCUUAUCAAGAGCUUUGGAGGGGAUGGAGCAGGCCGUGCUCUUACACUUGGAGAGUUGGGAAGUAACGGAAGGAUUUGGUAGAAGAGAAUGGUAUAGCAGAAGAACCCGAGGGCAGGUCUUCUCUGCCGAACUCAUCAGUAGCAUUUCGCACCAUAGGCAUCUUCAAGUGCUAGAACUCGCUGGAAAGUGGAAGCAGGGGGAUAGCCAGCUCAGCAAGCUCCCUCAUGGCCUCAAAAAGCUCAAGCUGAUAGGUUCUGAACCGAGUGAAGACCCAAUGCCUGUGUUGGGCGUCCUUCCGAAUCUGGUGGUGCUUGUCUUGGAAGACAAUGCUUUCAAGUGGAACAGCAUGACAUGCGAUGCGGGAGGAUUUCCUAGGCUGCGCCACCUCACAAUUGACGGCAUAAAAAGUGUCGAGUCUUGGAAUGUUAAAGUUGGGGCAUUUCCUUCACUAACUCAUCUGAAUCUUAUAUCGAGCUUCACUGGGAUGUCCCUUCCUCCUCUAGGACUGUUGCAUGUGACUUCACUUAAGACAUUGCUGAUAAAACAGUACUCUUGGAAUGGGAGCACUAUUUCCUCCAGUAAUGUUGGCAAACUAGAGGAGAUGGGGUGCGAUGUCAUCAUCAAAGUGAUGGAUUACUCUUUUCGUCCCAUAACUCUAUUGCCACUUUGCAGAAGAUCAAAUAGUUUUUAA